ensembl:lncRNA
AUGUGGUUCCUGGAUUUCGCCUCCCCCCCUCUACACACGGCUGUGGACUUUACCAGCCAGUAUAAGGGAAGCCCCGGAAGGCGCCCGCGUUCCCCUAAGGAACAGGACCGAAGAGAUCACAGGUUCCCGGAUUUCGCCUCCCCCCCUCUACACAUGGCUGUGGGCUUUACCAGCCAGUAUAAGGGAAGCCCCGGAAGGCGCCCGCGUUCCCCUAAGGAACAGGACCGAAGAGAUCACAGGUAAGUAUCACAUACAUCAAUCGUUUAAUUUAAAAACAAGUACUUAAAUAUCUUUUAUAACACUGGUGAUGGGGUAGACCUACUGACCCCAUCACAAUACCAUUCUUUAAAAGGAUUCCAUUUUUGUGCAAAUGCUAG